AUUUUCUAUUCUCUCUCAUAGAUUGAUUGAAUUCUUUUGUUGAUCAAAGCUCUCUCUGAGUUUCUAUUUCUAUUCUCUCUCAUAGUUUGAUUGAAUUCGCUCGCUGUUUCUUUUGUUGAUCAAAGCUCUGAUCACUUUAUCUUUCUAUUCUCUCAAUAGAUUGAUUGAUUGAUUUCGCUCGCUGUUUCUUUUGUUCAUUGAUUUCGCCCUAAUUAAAUCUCUCUCUCACUUCAUGGAUUCACCGCCGUGUACUCCUCCGAUCACCACACCUCGUACUCCCAUUUCGCCAUCCACACCUCGUACUCCGAUCACCACUCCUCCUCGUACUCCGAUUUCUCCAUCCACACCUCGUACUCCGCCGCUUUCAUCAUCGUCCCUGGCGGUGGUAGUAACUCCGUCACCUCCUCGUGCACCGAUGAAGCAAGGAAAGAUAUAUUCUACCCCGAUGCUACACUUGAUGGAUAAAAUCAUUCAAGAGGGAGAAUUGUUGUUGCUUGAGUAUCGAAGGAAUCAGAACACCGCUGAAGCCAGGGAAAACGAAAGAAAAAGAAAAAUACGUAUUUUGAUGUCACUUCGAUGAUCAUUCCUUUCUAUAUGAAAAUGGGUAAGUGAAAAGGUAAGAGGUUUAUUAUGAAAUUUUGAAAUUGAUCUGUUAGAGGUAGGUUAUGUUAUUUUCUGUUAGGAGAGUGUCUUUGCAGGUACAUCAACAUUUCUAUGCUUGUAAGUAAGAUAUUAAUUUGUUUUUACCUCUUUUGAUUUAGUUUUUACUUCUUAUAGUAUGGAAAAAUGGUAAGGAAAAGGGUAAGAAAUUCCAUUUGUUAUUAUGAAAUUGUGAUGUUCUGAGGUAGGUAGGUAUGCUAUAUUCAUUACAUUAACCAUGAUUAGUGCUAAAGCAAUGACAUCUGUAAAAUUGUCACACAAGAGUGGAAACUAUCCUCUGUCUUAUUGGGAGCUCAAUCUGGUCUGCGACGACAACAUUUGAAAUUGGCAGAAGGUAAGUUACUUCCUUAGCAUUUUUGGAUUAUCAUAAAAUCUAAUGAUGAUCUCUCUGCUACUUUAUUCAUCAUUUGGAUUAUAAGGUAAGUUAGCUUUCCAUUAAGUUUUCUUAUCCCAUUCCGUCUAAAUAAUUGAUUGCUAACUAUGCAUUUUUUAUGGUCUUUUUGUGUUUUUAAUCUUUAACACCUCUUGGUACUUGAUGCAUUCUAUUCAACAAUGCCAAAGUUUUGUUCUGCCAAAGGCAGGUUACUAUGCUUAUUGAAGGUUCUUUUCAACUAUACUGAUCAAGUAUAACUCAUUUGGUACAAAAUUGUUUGGCAUAAUACUCAUCACUUUACAAUAUAAUGAGUGUGAUAAGUUUUAAGAUGGUCUCUCUGCCACUUUAUUGUGUAAGUUAGUUAGCUUUCCAUUAAGUUUUCCUAAAUUGCAUUUUUCUUACCUGAUUGCGUCCAAAUAAUUGAUUGCUAAUUAUGCAUUUUUGCUGCUUUUUUUUAACCUUUAACUUGUUACUUGAUGCAUUCUAUUCAACCAUCACCGUGUCAUUUGUUAGACACAGAAUUCAAUGUGCAAAGGUGAUAAGUGAUAACAAUGUCAAAGCUUUGUGCUGCCAAAGACAGGUUUGUAUGGUUAUUGAGCAAGCUUAUGUAACCCUUUACUAUGUGUCCUGCUUUUUUCUUUGAUAAUUAUGCAUUACACAACUUCCUAAGCAACUUCCUUAUCCUAUCACUAGGUUUUUGGAUGAACCAUUUUGAUUUUCAUCAUAAGAUUCAUUGCUCUUAUGGCGAAUUAACAUUGAAUUUAUAUAUAACCUUUUCAUAAAUAAAUAUAAUUUCUGGUCCAACCAACCAUUCAAUGAAUAAGGUAUUGUCACAGUAGUAACUAAAAGGAAUGAUAAGUAUGAUUAUUAAUUAAUUUGUAGAAUCACUAUGUACUUGAAAAUUACCAUCUUUCUCUGUGAAUUUGCAUAUCUUACUAGGUAUUGCUGAAUUCAAGAAGAAGAGUGGAGGUCUUCGAGCGAGACUUGCUAGACAAGCAAACACCGCUAUGCUCGGAAAACUGGCUUGGGUAAAGAAGAUUCAUAUGUUGGUAAUCGGAAUUUCAUCAACACUGCUCGAUCAAUAACAAACUCACAACAGAUUGCUAUGUUUGGAAAGGUAGCCUUGAAAGCUAGAUUUGACUUCAAGUAGAUUUUAAUUUUGCUUAGGGUUUUGAUUUUCUAAUUCAGUGUUUUACAAUGUUUAGGAUCUGAUUUUCUGAUUCUGUGUUGAGUAUGUUUAGGAUAUGAUAUUUCUGAUUGUAAUUCUUUUUAUGUUUAUGCGUUUGGAUUUGAUUGUUCGUGCCGCUCGAACGAGACCAAAUAUGUUGGUGCAGGUUGGACUUGAACAUAGACACAUGCCGCCUGUUGCAAAACUGAUAGAAAUAGUCAGCAGAAGAAGCCUUGGACAUGAUAGAAUGGUAUCAAUUCGGGAGCAUCGGUUUCCUUUCUUGGUUACGUUUAGAUUUUAUACAACCAAUUGAGGUUACAUACAUUACCUGUUUUGAUUAUAGUAGUGAAUAAGCUGAUAGAAUGACAUUAAUCAUAGGUGAACAAUUGGAAUUGGUUCAAUGUUAAUUUUUAUUCAUUUUUUCAGUCACUUGAAUGUCUACAGCAUAUGGAUUCCACUUAUUUCGAGGAUAAUGGUUGUUUCUUUGGAGUGUUCCAUUAUCCUCGCAAACAGUUGAUAAUGGCCUCGCAAACAGUUGUCUAUGUUAUCCUUAUUUCGAGGAUAAUAUUUUGGGGAUAUUUUACUUCCGUAUAACUUGUUUUGUUUCGAUGUUUUGGUAGUGAAAUUCUAUGUAGCUCACUUGUUAUUUUCCAUCAUUUUUGCGUCUAUUGAUGAUGUUAUUGUCUUUUAAUUUUGAUACAAGGAACUGCAUGAAUUGAGGACCAUAACUGCAUGACUCAAUGUUCCUUUUCCAAAGUCACUUAGAUUGGUAAUAAUGGUUUCAUUAAGGUAAGUUACUUCCUUAGCAUAUUUGGAUUGUCACAAAAUCUACUGAUGAUCUCUUUGCUACUUUAUUGAUCAUUUGGAUUAUAAGGUAAGUUAGGUUUCCAUUAAGUUUUCUUAUCCGAUUCCGUGUAAGUAAUUGAUUGCUAACUAUUCAUUUUUGCUGGUCAUUUUGGUUUUAAUCCUUAACACUUCUUGAUGAAUUCUAUUCAACCAUCACUAUAUAUCAUUUGUUGGACACAUAAUUUGCAAUGUGUAAAGGUUAUAACAAUGCCAAAGUUUUGUUCUGCCAAAGACAGGUUGGUAUGGUUAUUGAAGUGCUUUUUAUAAUAAGCUUAGAGCUUAUGUCACACUUUUUUAUGUCAGACAGGUCUCUAGUUGUUGGUAGUUAGGCAUCCUGCUUUUUUCUUUCAUUAUUAUGCAUUACUCCAAAUUUAAUAACUAUACUGAUGAAGUAUAACUCUUUUGGUACAAAAUUGUUUGGCCUAAUACUCGUCAAUGUGCAAAUUCAUGCACAGGCUCAUAAUUUGAACAACGGUGGACAAACACAAGAUUUGUACAUUGGCCUAUAUCUAUCAUAUUAUCAAAACCUACUGAUGGAACUAACAUACUUUACUACUUUCUUAUCUCUGCAUAUAUUUGAGAUAUUGCUUAGCUUUCAAAGUUGGAUGUUUAGGGCUCCAAAACCAAUCAAUCAUAUUGUAGCACAUUCAUGACUGGUUUCAAAACUGAACUGACAGUCAUUUUGGUUUCCUUCACCUGUUGUCAGGUUUGCUUGUGUACAAAUCCUUUUUCGCUAGUGAAGACAAGACUGCAACUUCAGAUGCCCCUUCAUCAGGCACAAUCAUACUCUGGGCUAUAUGAUAUGAAAAACGCAAUGUAACAGUGAAAUAAGAACAAAUUGAGAAAACAAAGGGCUUUAUUAAUAUUGAAAUGAUGGAGGAAUUACAGAAAAAGGAAUAAAUCUAUUCCUAGACUCUGACUCGGAGCAGAGCUCCGUUUAGGAAGAAUACUUCCUAACCAUUCUAUUCGUGCACUGAAUUCCAGGUCAGAUUUACAUUCUCUCCCCACCUCCUUAUAUCUAGGAACUAACUGCAUGUAGCCCUCACUCCUACGUCACCAAUCAUAUCCAAUUAGCCACUAUUUCCCUUCUUGCCCUUUCUAGAAUAUAUUAUCCAAGUCUUUGGCUGAUUUGUCGCAUUAUGGAUUAAUUGCUCAUGUGGCAGUGAUGUAGUUAUAUGGGUCCUAUCAUAAUCUUUAACACUUCCUGAUGCAUUCUAUUCAACCAUCACUAUAUGUCAUUUGUUAGACACAAAAUUUGCAAAGUUUUGUUCUGCCAAAGACAGGUUGGUAUGGUUAUUGAGCAAGCUUCAAGGAAGCCACUGCACCGGUUCAGGAAAAACCCUUGAUUUCGACAUUCCGUUCUCCCCAAACCUCUCCAGGUUCCUCCAUCUUCUCAUUUCACUUGUUGUGUUUCUUCGUCUUCUUUAAUUCUUAUUGAUGUGUCGAUUCAAACUUAUUUAUUUAUUGACUGUAAUAUGUUCAAUUUAUGCGUGUGCAUGACUAUGAAGCUUUUCUUUGCUUUUAGGUAUGCCAAAUUUAUAAUGUUGCCCAACAUUUUGUUUCAAUUUUAUCGAUUAUUAUGUUAAUGAUCCUCAUUGGUGGAGUGGAAGUAAAAAAUGACAUGAAGAAAAUUGAGGAACAAGGAGCAAACAUCUUGAUCAGCAUGCCUGUUGAAGUGCUUAUUCUCUGCUACUCAAACUCCUGAAUGGUAGAGAUUAAGAUGUGAACUGAUUAUGCAAGUGAAGAGCCUAAUUUGUGCCAAUGGAUGCAAGAGGAUAAAGAACUGUCUACUCAUGGCCAUUAUCUUUACUACGAGAUUUGGAGAAAUGGAUAAAGAACUUUAUUUGGUCAGGGGAUAUCACUCAAAGGAAGCUGGUAAUUGUUAGUUGGAAGAAUGUUUGCAAGCCUUUUAAUCAUGGUGGUCUAGGCCUCGGGUCUUUAUUUAUUCUCAAUGAAGACUCAAAUUUAAAGCUUUGUUGGGACAUGUUACAUUCACAAGAACAUUGGGCUAUAUUACUGAGAAGCAGGGUCUGUUGAGAUAAACAAUGCAUCAAUCACCACAUUUUUUCAUCCUUAUGGAGUAGCUUCAAGUCAGAGUUCAGUUUAAUUUUGGAGAAUCUUUUCAGUUGGAGAUGGCUCUACUAUAAAUUUAUGGAAUGACAGAUGGUUUGAUAAACAAUCUUUGGCUCAAAUGUACACAUACCUGUCAAUCUUCAUCAGUUUCUUUCUGCUACUGUUGCAGACUUUAUUCAUGAUCACCAUUGGCAUAUUCCUUUUGAUCUGGAAGUUAUGUUCCCUAAUCUAAGACACAUUAUUGAUAGGGUUUCAAUCCCAAUGGAGCAUAAGCCUGAUGUGUUAGUUUGGAUUCAUACUGACUCAGGUAACUUGUUCCCCAAGGAGGCUUAUUCUUUCAAAAAUCAUCAUUCCAUGGAUCUACAUUGGGCUAAGCUUGUGUUGCUUGGAGACUUAUGCAUGGUAAGAUGCCAACCGAUGAAAAUUUAAUGUUGAGAGGAUGUAGCAUGCCUUCAGUCUGUAAUCUUUGCCUUCAGCAUGUUGAAACUUCCUUUCAUUUUUUCUUUGAAUGCCCUUACUCUAUAAACACAUGGACCUGGUUCUCUGAGAUGGUUGGUAUUAAUUUAUAUUUCAACUCAGUUGAAGAAAUUUGGAAGAAAUGUGACAGACAAUGGACUCCUCAGUGUAAGGUUAUUAUGCAGGCUUCACUGAUUAACAUCAUUAAUACAAUUUGGUUUGUGAGAAAUCAAGCUAGAUUCAAGGGAAAGAAUGUUCGCUGGAAAAAUGCAGUCACUUUGAUAUUGGCAAAUGUUGUUUUAGCUGGAAACAAUACAAAGCAUACUUUCUACAACUCCAUGAAGGACUUAAAAAAAAAAUCAGAGUUGAGAUACAUCCUCCUAGAGCACCUAUAAUUAAAGAAGUGCUUUGGCUUCCUCCAAUACUUAACUGGACUAAGUGCAACACGGUUGGGGCUUCAACAUCCAUAUCUUCUUCCUAUGGUGGAAUUUUUAGAAACCAGCAAGCUGAGCAAUUGAGAGCAAUUGUGAUAGCUAGCCAUUAUAAUUGGACCAACCUAUGGAUUGAGACUGAUUCAUCUUUGACAGUCUCCGCUUUCAAGUCAUGUCUCUAAGGAAUAGAUGGCUGAAUUGUCAAGCUCUUUUGACAAAUAUGAAUUUUUUGAUUAAACACAUCUUUAGGGAAGGGAAUGAGUGUGCAGACAUGUUAGAAAACAUUGACCUUGGUCUUAAUAUCAGAGAACCAUCCUACUGGCUUGGUCUUAAUAUCAGACAUGUUACGAACAAACUUGGCAUGCCUAAUUAUGGGUUUCUUUCCCUUUAGAGGGUUUUGGUUUGGUCCCCCCUCUAUUUUGUGUAUCUUUUCCUUGUUUAAUAUAGUUUUGGUGGUUGCAGCACUUUAGCUGCAACCCUCCUUUUUUGAAAAAAAUAAUUGAUUGCUAACUAUGUAUUUUUGCUGUUUUUUUAUUUAUUUUGUUUUAA